rnacentral:rRNA from 1 species
GUAUACCUCCGUCGCAAGCCUGCCAUGUGAACGCACAAUAGCAAGCUUAAGGACUUUAGCGCCAAUACGUCAGGUCAAGGUGCAGCUCAUGAAAUGGAACAUAAUGGGCUACAAUUUCUAUCUUAGAACAAACGAAAGACUACAUGAAACUUAGUCAUGAAGGCGGAUUUAGCAGUAAAUAGGAAACAGAAAGCCCCAUUUAACCCGGCCCUGGGACGCGUACAAACCGCCCGUCACCCUCUUCAACAGUACCUCACCAGGCAUUAUAGCCCCCACCUACACCCUAUAAGAGGCAAGUCGAAACAUGGUAAGUGUACCGGAAGGUGCACUUGGAACAACAAAAUGUAGCUUAACAAAAGCCCCUCGCUUACACCGAGUAAAUGUCUGUGCACCCGGAUCAUUUUGAGCCCCCCAUCUAGCCCACAACCCAACACAUACUUAUCAAUCCGAAAAAAAUAAAAUAAAACAUUUUAACUCUUUAGUAAAAGCGAACAAAAUUUACCUAGGCGCUUUAGAAAAAGUACCGCAAGGGAAAAAUGAAA